CAAUGAUGUUAGGUUUUGUUGUACUUUAUGCUACUUCUUUGUACUCCAUAUGCAAUGAUGUCUAUUUUUUUUUUCUCUUUCUUUUAAGGAAUGUUCAGAAUUAAGUUUUGAAUUAAGGGCCACAAAAGUUUUGAAUUAAGCUUACAUUUUUUUACCUUCAUCCACACAAAAUCAGUACAGUUGUUUCUCCAUCUAUUUACAUCAAUUUGGAUAUCAAUCAAGUGUGCUAAUUUUUGGUUGUAUGUGUUUUUUAAGGAUUGCUUAGAACAGACCAUAUUCCUACAAUUGUUAGGAAAAUGGACAUUCCAUAUUUCUUGUAUGAAAUGGGAUUAAUUCUCCUACUGGUUGGAUGAGCUGGUGAAGAAUGCGUAGCGUGUCCAAUUGGAGUUCACUGGUGCCCAUUUAGUGGACAGACAUGAUUUCCAUCAUCAUUUGA